UGAGGAAUAUUGCGCAAUGGGGGAAACCCUGACGCAGCGACGCCGCGUGAGUGAGGAAGGCCUUCGGGUCGUAAAGCUCUGUCAAAGGGAAAGAAGUGCAUAAUGGCUAAUACCUGUUAUGUUUGACGGUACCCUUAAAGGAAGCACCGGCUAACUCCGUGCCAGCAGCCGCGGUCAUACGGAGGGUGCAAGCGUUGUUCGGAAUUACUGGGCGUAAAGGGCGCGUAGGCGGUUUGAUAAGUCAGAUGUGAAAGCCCAGGGCUUAAC
rnacentral:rRNA from 1 species